rnacentral:tRNA from 1 species
GGUGUUAUAGUAUAGUGGUUAGUACGGUUCGUUGUGGCUUCAAAAAUCCAGCUCCGAACAGACCCAGGUUCGAUUCCUGGUAACGCCA